ACAUCCAAUACCUACUGAGCAGCUGACAAGAAUUUGACAAACGACACAUAUAAAGUUUACAAUUUACUAAUUAAUUCUAUAUCUGAUUCUGUACAAUAAAUAUUCGUUAGGUACUAUUGGACCAGUGACUAAUCGACCACAAAGAAUGUAAACAAAUUACAGAAAUCGGAUCAAUUUUCAAAAAUUAUUGCUACGAGCAUUAAAAUGGAUGCAUAUUUACUGGAAUUACCGAUAUAAUAUAGGCAUCGUACCAUCGGCAGACGAAACAUGGCCAGAUAGUGUUCGAGUGAUAAUUCCUGAUACUGAAUAAAAUUGUUUUUGAUAAGAGACGACUUGAUGUUUCAAAUACUGUGCAUUCUGUUACGGUUCUUUGUGCAUCUAGAUAUACUCUUUCUCUUGUGUUUUGAAUGAUAAUCUCUUCUUUUUAUAUAAACUAUGCUAUUUUAGUUUUCAUUUAUUUCUGCUAUGUUUGAUAUGCAACCCAUUAUACAUCUCCCCGAUGAA